rnacentral:lncRNA from 1 species
CUGGCGUGUGCCUGCCUGCGUGUGCCUGUGGGGGGAGCUCUGCGCGUGCGAACACGUGUUGUGUGUGUGCGGACGUGCCUGGCUUCCAGAGAGUCGUCACGUGGGGACCACAAGCGCGUGGUUAGAGGGUCUCAAAGCGAUCCUCCCAUCUCAGCCUCCGAGUGCUGGGAUCACAGAUGUGCACCACCACGCCAGCUGCCUCUUGAUUGGGCUGCAGAAUCCAUUCACAUCCACUGUAAUUGCUAUUAAGGUUAAGGUUCGAUGCUUGUUUUGUUACUUUUCCCGUAUGGUCCCUGUUUUGUGCCUCUAGUCCUCGA